GUGGGGAAUAUUGCACAAUGGGGGAAACCCUGAUGCAGCGACGCCGCGUGAGCGAGGAAGUAUUUCGGUAUGUAAAGCUCUAUCAGCAGGGAAGAAAAUGACGGUACCUGACCAAGAAGCCCCGGCUAACUACGUGCCAGCAGCCGCGGUAAUACGUAGGGGGCAAGCGUUAUCCGGAUUUACUGGGUGUAAAGGGAGCGUAGGCGGCUGUGUAAGCCAGAAGUGAAAGCCCGUGGCUCAACUGCGGGACUGCUUUUGGAACUACAUGGCUUGAUUGCAGGAGAGGCAAGUGGAAUUCCUAGUGUAGCGGUGAAAUGCGUAGAUAUUAGGAGGAACACCAGUGGCGAAGGCGGCUUGCUGGACUGUAAAUGACGCUGAGGCUCGAAAGCGUGGGGAGCAAACAGGA
rnacentral:rRNA from 1 species